rnacentral:lncRNA from 1 species
GCGCCCCCUGACCCGCGGUCCUGCAGUCCUGCUCCCGUGAGGUGCCCUCCCUCCUUCCGUUCCCCGUUUCCCCUUCACUACUCAGGGCUGGAGCCUGAACCUGGCGGGGCCCCCCGUGAAUCGGGAGAGCCUGGGCCACGCUAAGGUGGACCCCACUCAGCCUCCAGCCGUGCCCUCCGCGCCCCAGACACUGCCGUCUUCGGAGACGACUCCGCGGUCGUGUGGACGGGGUCCCAUUUGGACUCCGGGGUCUGCAGGAUCGGCAGGAAGGACUUUGCUCUCUGAGGCUGGGCGGGGAGGGGUACGCUGUCUGCCGGGACUCCCUAACCCUUUAGAAGGAGCAAGUGCGUCCAAAUGGUUUGAAAGUGGACCUUUAGUGUUUUCCAGGAGUAAGAAGAUAAAACAGUUGACCAGUUUUGUUUGUAAAACUUCUUUCCUUGCCUCGGACUUGUGCUAUAAAGUGACCAAGGCGUAGUGAGUACAGUUAGUACCGCACACGUUAGCACGCUCGACCUUAACGAUCUUUUUAUAGAGACAAUAAACCUGCAGCGUUUCAUGCCACGUCUUUGUACGCAUCGGAUGUCUGCCGGUGUAGUUACUAGGUGAAAUCCUCUUGGCGUGCGCAAAUCACGUUAAAAAAAUAGCUGUCAAACCUGAGACAGGAGUUGCAGGAGUAGAGGGUGGCGCUUGUUAAGUGAAACAUUUAACCAGGAAUGGUAUUGUGUGCCAUCCUGUAUUAAAAUAAACAAUGUAUGGACAAAGUGGAACAACAGCAAAGCAAAAAAUAAAAAUUAAAAAAAAAAAGUGA